CAGCAGCCGCGGUAAUACGUAGGGUGCAAGCGUUAAUCGGAAUUACUGGGCGUAAAGCGUGCGCAGGCGGUUUGUUAAGACAGAUGUGAAAUCCCCGGGCUUAACCUGGGAACUGCAUUUGUGACUGGCAAGCUAGAGUAUGGCAGAGGGGGGUGGAAUUCCGCGUGUAGCAGUGAAAUGCGUAGAUAUGCGGAGGAACACCGAUGGCGAAGGCAGCCCCCUGGGCCAAUACUGACGCUCAUGCACGAAAGCGUGGGGAGCAAACAGGAUUAGAUACCCGAGUAGUCCCUGUCUCUUAUAA
rnacentral:rRNA from 1 species